rnacentral:rRNA from 1 species
CCUACGGGUGGCAGCAGUGGGGAAUAUUGCACAAUGGGGGAAACCCUGAUGCAGCGACGCCGCGUGAGUGAAGAAGUCUUUCUGUAUGUAAAGCUCUGUCAGCAGGGAAGAAAAUGACGGUACCUGCCCAAUACUCCCCGGCUAACUACGUUCCAGCCGCCGCGGUAAUACGUAGGGGGCAAGCGUUAUCCGGAUUUACUGGGUGUAAAGGGAGCGUAGACGGCAGGGCAAGUCUGUAGUGAAAGGCGGGGGCUCAACCCCCGGACUGCUCUGGAAACUGCCAGGCUGGAGUGCAGGAGAGGUAAGUGGAAUUCCUAGUGUAGCGGUGAAAUGCGUAGAUAUUAGGAGGAACACCAGUGGCGAAGGCGGCUUACUGGACUGUAACUGACGUUGAGGCUCGAAAGCGUGGGGAGCAAACAGGAUUAGAUACCCCAGUAGUC